rnacentral:tRNA from 1 species
GCUCCGGUGGUGUAAUGGCGUAGAGCAUUCCCGCCCGGUUAGAGGGAGGUGCGGGUUCGAGUCCCGCCUGGCGCU